ACGGCUCUCACCUGCUCCCCCCUCCAUAAAGCCUCUCCCCGGAAACCCUAGCGCCAUCCCCCUCUCCUUUUCCCUCUCACGCGCCGCCGCCCCCAUCUUCCCUCUCUUUUUUCUUCAUCCUCUGCUUCUUCUUCACAAAACGAACACCAACGGAGAACCACCGUCACCUCCUCGCCAUGGCGCCAUCGCAGCAGGCCACCCCGCGUCAAGACGAGGGCACCAGGAGAUCCGCGGCGUCGUCCUCUACAUCCUCGUCCAAGGAAUCGUCUCCGCUCUUCCCCAAUCAACGGCAAAAUCGCCGAUUCCUCGCUCCGUUUGUCGAACUCCGGCGACGUUUCUGGCCGCCUCUGUUCUCCCCCGGCCAAACCAACGACACCAUCGCCUUCCUACCGCUGUUUUUGCCCGCAGAUGCCGCUGCCGGCGAUGCUCCGGUGAGUCCCUGGACAGCGCGCCGCCACCUACUGGUUCCUCGCGGUGAGGCGCGAUGCGUGGGCUAGUUCCCCGUCGCUCGCCGUCCCUCCUUCGACAAAUCCGUGGUCGACUGCGCCGGGCUCGGCUCUUCGUCCAAGUCCGUUCCGUCAUGCUUCAUGUCGUCGCGCGCCUGUUACUGUUCACCUAUCCACAAUCAGCUAAGUUGAUCUGAUAGUGGGCCCCGCCCGUCAGCUACCCAACGCCACCUCUGCUUCCUCCUGCCUCGUCAGCUUCCAUGUCAUCCGCCCUGGUCCCACCAUCAGCCGCUCAGGCUAGCUCCCACCUGGGAUCGCGAAGUGGUGUGGUGAGAUACGACAAGUCCUUCGGAUGUCCCUCGGCAAGCUUUAACAGGCAAGCAUUUCCCCUAUACUCUUGUCCCUACAGGAGUCGCUCACCUAUUUUAUUUUGCCUUCUCCCUCAUGCUAUCCUUAAGUUGUGUCCUGGUCACGUGUGAUUUCCACUUGUUACCUAAAGCAGCCUAUAUUGCCUCCACCAACCACCUACAGCUAUUGUUUGGUUUCGGGUCUGGCUUGCGAGUCGUAGUGCAUGCUAGUGCUGUUUUAUCUCGUUACCGUUAUUAUUAUCCUAUCGGGUUAUAUGUUGGGAAGAAUCAUGGUUACUUUAGUUGUUGAUAUUUGUUUAGCGGAGGCAUCGGUGGGCCAGCUGAUCGUUUUGUGACGGCUCACUUGUGUUUCCUAAUUAACUUAGGACCCGAGUUCCUGUUAUCUGUUCCGAGACUGAGCGCUCUUACCACACGUGGGUAUGCUUACCGGGUCUCCCCUCGACCACUGCCGGAAUCUACAUCUUUGUCCAGUGGCCAUAAUUAGUUUGAAUGUUUUGUUUCUCCCGGGCGUGCAAGCUUGUUUCUUUGUGGUCAGAUGAUAUGAUGUUACUUUUGGGGCCUUGUACCCCAUUGUCUCUUGCACGUUCGUAGGUUGCGGUGCCACUGCGAAGUGGUCAUCCCGCUGGGCACUGUCCACCUAGCACGCAGUCGCAAUAGCUGAGUCCGCUUCGGAGCACGGCCGGACUCUGAUACGGGUUUAACUUAGUUAGGUGGCUUCCUGGACAUUGUUGCCAUGAAGGAGAGUGCGUGUCGUGAUAUCCAUCUGUCGUAAGUGGGUUGAUCGUGCGUGUGGGCACAUUUGGGCACCCCUGCAGGGUUACAAUCUUAUCGAUAAGUCGUGUCCGCGGUUAAGGACGACUUGGAGCUGUAUGACUCGACCAUAGAAAACUUACACCUGUUGUUUCAAUACUAAUAACUUGAGUAGUAAGUUAGCCCAACUCUAAUAAUAAAUGGUUAAAACUUGUCCACCGUGUGAGUGCCAUUGUAACUACUUCCUUGCGAGGGGGGAACAUAUUGGUUGUGUUAUGUUUGCAGAGUAUAGAACUAUUAGUUUUUGCGCUCUCUCACCUUCUCUGAUUAGACGAAUGUUGUAGAGUGUCUCUAUAGGUUUUUAGUGCUUGCGCGCUGCCGCUUAACCCCACCAUAUUGCCUAUGACGUUCCUCUUGUGUCCUCUAAGUCCCCUGCGUGCCUCAAGUACAAAGGACGACUGAUUGACGAAUGCUUAUACGUCUUGAAGUCUUGUUAAGUACGAACCCGUACUUAUUGCGGCUUCUACGGGAUAUAACCGGGCAGGUAUGAAGAUAUGUUCGAUGAAGACGACGUUAGCAAGGUUACCCUUCCGGCUUGGCCUGGGCAGGGUUAUGGAUGCCGCUGAUUAUCUUCAGGACUCUUAGUCCAAUUUGUAUUUUGUCCGUACUCGGACGUAUUUGAUCUUCUGUAUGAUUUGGAUCUUUGUAAUAUAUAUUUGUAUCUUGACUCGUUGGAGUCGUUGUUGUAAUAUAUGUCUCUUGUGGGCUCUAUUGUAAUCCUGUUGUAAUGUUACCUCUCGUGAUUGAUUCCACCCGCAUCGCGUGCAUGCUUCGGCAUGUACGAGGCGCUUGGUGGUGCGUCUCCUAAAAUCGAUAUCAUGCGGAUUUCGGUGGAUUCGCUGCGAUCCUCAUGGUACCGGUUUCGGGGCGUCACAGAAAUGCUAAAAGAGGAGCUAUGUGCUAAGAACUUUACCCAAUAAAUUAGUGAUGGAUUCACGGAGGACGCCUUCCUUCUUGUCGGCUGCGACUGCAGCUUUGCGCUUGGCAUCUUGUUCAUCAUUCAUCUGUCGCUUCAGCUUCUUCAACUCGUCCUUCAGUAAGGCAUUUUC